AUGCUUUCACAACUUGACUUCAAAAUAUUUGGUUUGGAGACCAUCAAAGAUCAAUAUGUGCAUGAUGCUGAUUUUAAAGAUGUAAUGCAGAAUUGUAAAGAAGGAAGAAUGUGGAACAAGUUUGUCGUUAAUGAUGGAUUUGUGUUUCGUGCUAACAAGCUAUGCAUUCCAGCUAGCUCCGUUCGUCUUUUGUUGUUGCAGGAAGCGCAUGGAGGAGGAUUAAUGGGGCAUUUUGGCGUGAAGAAGACGGAGGACGUACUUGCUACACAUUUCUUUUGGCCAAAGAUGAGACGGGAUGUUGAGCGGGCUGUUUUGAAGAAUAAUAAGAAAAUGUGGGAGGAAUGCUUGCCUCAUAUUGAAUUUGCUUAUAAUCGUUCAUUGCAUUCUACUACUAAGAUGUGCCCUUUUGAAGUUGUGUAUGGUUUCCUACCUCGUGCACCUAUUGAUUUGUUGCCUCUUCCAUCUUCGGAGAAGGUUAAUUUUGAUGCUAAACAACGCGCUGAAUUGAUUUUAAAAAUGCAUGAGUUAACUAAGGAAAACAUUGAGCGCAUGAAUGCUAAAUAUAAACUUGCUGGAGAUAAGGGUAGAAAACAUGUUGUGUUUGCACCUGGAGAUCUUGUUUGGUUACAUUUGCGUAAGGAUAGAUUUCCUGAUUUGCGCAAAUCAAAGUUAAUGCCACGUGCUGAUGGUCCCUUUAAGGUGUUAGAGAAAAUAAAUGAUAAUGCAUAUAAACUUGAGCUGCCUGCAGAUUUUGGGGUUAGUCCCACUUUUAACAUUGCAAAUUUGAAGCCUUAUUUGGGUGAGGAAGAUGAACUUCCGUCGAGGACGACUUCAUCUCAAGAAGGGGAGGAUGAUGAGGACAUCAAUACAAUUGUUACACCCACAGCCCCUGCUGCUAUACAUACUGGACCAAUUACUAGAGCUCGUGCACGCCAACUAAAUUACCAGGAAACAGACCCUCGUGGUCAGGUUGAUCAUGCUCCGACGUGGUCAAUAACCUCUCGGAGUUGGUUUAGCGAUUGCUAA
rnacentral:rRNA from 1 species